UCUGGAGCGCCCUCUAGUGCUGGCAGGGUGUCAGGGGGCAGGUCAGGGGGAUUGGGUUUGCCCUCAGCCUGCUCCUCAUUUGGGGUGUUCAUUGAAUGGGGAAUGUUUGCUGUUGUUGCAAGUGGGACUAAAGGAAAAAACACAACUGUUAAGACAUUUUGUGAUAGGCACACAAGUAAAGCUCCUAUCUACGUGGAUGGGGAAUGUACAAGUGCCUGUCUCCUCUUAUAUGGUCUCUGAAAUGACUGAGUGUACCUCAGAAAUCUUCUGUCAGUUCAUCAGGAAGAAAUCACAGUAUGUUCCUGGAAGCAGUCAAGUGUGAAAGCACCCCGAUGUUCUUGUGGAUAUUGAGUCUUCAGAAACUGAACUCAAAUGAAAAGUGAAUGAGCAGAUGAUGGGUGGAAAAUGCUCCACUCAAAUCUCUAACUUCGAAACUAUUUUUUAAAUCAUACCAAACUUGAGGUUAUUUUAUAUGACAAACAGAACUGUUAGUUCUAUAUACUGUAAUCGACCAGAAUCCUGCUGCGUACUGUGUGAUCGUGUGUUUGUGAUGAUCCCUGGCGAUCAGCGCAGCCGUUUCUCAGACGUUCAGAAGACAAGAGAGACACUCAUUUCCUUUGUGAAGAUCCUGUUCGCUUUUUUACUGCCGCACAAAUCUGUAUAAUUCUAUCACACUUGGAUUAAGACUAGCUCAAAAUCUCCUCCAGCGGGGUAACUGGACGCACACACGCAGAGUGUGGUGUUUGGGGGUCUUUGUCUGCUGUAACACUGGGUGGUGUGAUAAAUCCUACUUGACUGCUGCAUGUUCGACUGUGCUUGUUUGUGCCAGUAGAUGUAGUUGUGCCAGUCCAAAUGUGGGCAUAUGCCCUCUUCCCCCAGCUAGUGCCAGGACUCUGACACCAUCUGUCUGGAUGUCACACUCCCAUUUUCCAGCCCAUUUCUUUCAACUGUAGAAUGCUGUCAAGGUGUUUAACGUUUGUGUGGUUUGAAAGGAAAGGAAACCAUUUUCUUCAUUGCUGAGCUUUUUUUAUGGCACAUUAUUCUGGGGCAGACACUCAGUCAUUCAGAGCGGGAAAAAGGGAUCAAAUCUAAUUCUCUUCAGCUGGAUAUGCAGGGAAACCAAUCAGUUUAUGAUACUGCUGGGCUGUGUAGGAAAGCGAACAUUAAAAGGGAGAUUUACAGCUCUUUCCGAAUCAUCGACAUGGCCUGUGACGGAGUUUACACCAUACAGUGUCCUCAAAAAUUAUUUGAAUGUUUAUGUUGCACUUGAAAGUGUAUGAAUGCCUUUGCAUCAGAUAACAUAAUAUCAAGCAAGUGGCUUAUUCAAGCAAAAGAUGCUAGACCCCAGCCAUGCUUUUUAGCUGGCUUUUAACUCAAAACAAUGUUUAUUGGAUGUAUGUUGUCAGAUUUCCUCAAGUUCAUACAGGUUUUCUAGUGGAAUAACCACUGGUGUAUUUAAUCAUGUUACCUAUUCACAUGAUCCAUUAAUAAUGUGUGACAGACAAAACAUUUUAUUGCCUUUUUUGCAUAAAUUUAAGAUUCAUCAGGGAUAUCAAUUAAUUUUUUAUGAAAUGUUUUGACUGAAAAGUGAUAUUUUCCUUCAAAUAAAAUAAUGUAAUGGCAUUUAUUAGGGCUCAAGCCCAAAGGGCGAGAGGCCU